rnacentral:rRNA from 1 species
CGCGGCAGCCUAACACAUGCAGUCGAGGGGUAACGGGAAGUGCUUGCACUUUGCCGACGACCGGCGCACGGGUGCGGAACGCGUAUGGAACCUGCCCCUGUCAGGGGAAUAGCCCAGAGAAAUUUGGAUUAAUGCCCCAUGGUAUCCCAUCACCACAUGGUGUAGGGAUUAAAGAUUUAUCGGACAGGGAUGGCCAUGCGUACCAUUAGCUUGUUGGUGAGGUAACGGCUUACCAAGGCAACGAUGGUUAGGGGCCCUGAGAGGGGGAUCCCCCACACUGGUACUGAGACACGGACCAGACUCCUACGGGAGGCAGCAGUGAGGAAUAUUGGACAAUGGGCGGGAGCCUGAUCCAGCCAUGCCGCGUGCAGGAUGACUGCCCUAUGGGUUGUAAACUGCUUUUAUACGGGAAGAAACCUGUCCACGUGUGGACAGCUGACGGUACCGUAAGAAUAAGGACCGGCUAACUCCGUGCCAGCAGCCGCGGUAAUACGGAGGGUCCGAGCGUUAUCCGGAAUCAUUGGGUUUAAAGGGUCCGUAGGUGGGCCAUUAAGUCAGGGGUGAAAGUCUGCAGCUCAACUGUAGAAUUGCCUUUGAUACUGGUGGUCUUGAGUCGUUGUGGGGUUGCCGGAACAUGUGGGUGUAGCGGUGAAAUGCAUAGAUAUCACAUAGAACACCCGAUCGCGAAGGCAGGUGACCAACAACGUACUGACACUGAUGGACGAAGCGUGGGGUAGCGAACGGGAUUUAGAUACUCCGGGUAGUCCACGCGUAAACGAUGGAUACUAAGCUGGUGGGACUCCGCUCUCGGCGGCAAGCGAAAGUGAUAGGUAUCCCACUGGGAGAUCCUUUCCAGAAUGAAUCCUAGGGAAUGGACGCGUCGGCGAACGCGGUGAGACUUGGUUAUUUCCAGGAUUAUCAGAGGGUAC